AUCGUUGAACGCAUACGGUGUGUUUUUUUGAGGUUUGCCUCUCUCACGAAAGCAAAGCAACGAUGGCGAAUCCCGUGGCUGAUUCUCGCAGCAAUAGAGCAGCAGUUCAAGCCACGAACGACGACGCUUCAGCCAGUAAAUUAUCCUGUGUUAAGAAGGGAUACAUGCAAGACGAUUAUAUCCAUUUGUUUGUAAGGCGACCUGUGAGGAGAUCUCCAAUUAUCAACCGCGGCUACUUUGCACGUUGGGCUGCUCUUCGGAAACUUCUAUAUCAGUUUCUUGAUUGUGAAAUGAAUGCU
rnacentral:misc_RNA from 1 species